AUGCUUUGGAGAAGUCUGACAAGUAUACACAUGCAGCUUCGGCCUUUGGUGAAUUCCUGUCUAAUUCUCUGCUGCUCUUUUUCAUUAAAAAGGGAGAGAGUCACCCUUAAGGAUGUAGGUGGGGUGGACAUGGUCAGCAUCCAUGUGAGGUUGAGGAGGAGCCUCAGCGGCCUUGAGCAGGCUAUGGAAGCCCAAGUGAGAUUGGGUGGACACAGGACAGUCCAUGGACUUCAUCCAGCCUUGCUUAUUUCUUUUCGCACUGUCUGCAUCUGUGUCUGUGACUGUUUCUGUGCUACAAGAGCCAAGAUGAGUAACAGCAAGUAGAGACCAUAGGAUCUACAAAGUUGAAAUUGUUCACUAUAGUGCCCUUUCCAGAAAAGUCUGCCCGUCCUGCGUGAGAAUGUUAACACCACCACCCAGGCCUCCCUGCCAUCAGUGGACUGGACUGGUGAGGCUGGGAGCUGCAUGAAACCAUUGGCGUGAGCCCCUCCCCUCCCCAGGCCUCCUUGCCACCAACAGACCUUGAGGACCAGAUCUGCAUGAGCACUUGGGGGCUUUUCCAGCAACCCCCGCCCCCAAGCCUCUGGCUUCCCGGCUAUGCCUGUUCCUCAUCUGUACUACAGAGGAACAGUGGGUCUUAAAGGCCAUUGCCCUGAGCUAGAGCAGAAGUGAAAAAUAGUAAGAGGGCCUUACUCCUUAGUCCCCAUCCUGAAGAGAAAACUUACUAUAUUGGUCAUUUUAUUCAUUAUAAACCUAUUUUGGGCUAGUCUUCAAUUUCAUUUUAUUUCACAUGGUUAAAGGUGAUAGAUAAAUCAUAAAUCAUCAUUUUCUAAACUGUGUUUGCUUCUAUUAUUGUUGCUGAUUGUAUCACUUGGGCUAGUGUUGUGAUUGAUCUAUUCAGUUAUCUUUCCUGGUAUAAUGAAAAUGAGAUUGGCCCAGAGUUAUUAGAGAAAGAUUAGCUAUAUCUGGAAGAUACCUCUGAGAAGCAAUCAUUCCUUAAGGGUUCUAAAUACAAGCAACAAAGAUAUCUACAACAAGUAAUGUUGUACCAACAAUAAUAGAAAUGAAACAACAUUUAAACAAGACACAGUCUUCCACCUUACCUAAGGCAAAUUCUGGGGAAACGAGAUGGAAAAGUCUGAUAAUCAACCACCUGGACAAAAAUAGCAGGGUAAAACAAAACAAAACAGUUGAAUGAGGCUCUAGAAAUACUAAAAACAGAAAUAAUUUCCCAGAUAAAAGACAUGAUUAUAAACUAUAGAACAGAAACAGAUUUAAAAAACUAUAGAUGAGUUCAGGACCAUGAUGAAAGCCGUGACUCAGCAUAGGAAAGAAAUGGAAACCAUGAAAGCCCAACAUAAGAAAGAAAUGGAAUCCAUGAAACAGAUUCAAACUGAUAUCCAGGAGAUUAAAAACUCAUUAAAAGCAUACAGAGCAGACAACCCAAUCUGAAGACAGAAUAUUAGAUAUAGAAGACAGGAUGGUGAUCAGUGACCAUGGAAAGAGAGAUCUCUUAAAAAUAGGAAGGGACCAUGAAAAAUCAAUCCAUCAGCUCCUACAUGAUGCAAAAAAGAAUAAUAUAGGAUUAAUAGGAGUCCAAGAAAAAGCAGGAGAAAGCACAAAUGAUAUGAAAAAACUGUUCACAAAAGUAAUAGCAUAAAACUUCCCAAACAGAGCAAAAGAACUUGACAUACAGAUAAGUGAGGCAUAUAGAACUCCAAAUAGUUAUGAUAAAAAAAUCUACACCUAGACAUAUAAUAAUCAAGAUCCUGGAAACCCAGCAGAAGUACAAAAUUCUACAAGCAGUCAGAGAAAAGAAACAAAUUCCAUGCAAAGGAAAGCCCAUUAGAAUCACAACAGACUACACAACACAAAGCCUUAAGUCAAGGAGAGCCUGGAGUGAGGUAUUUCAAGCUUUAAAAUAAAACACCCCCAAGCUAGGCUGAUGUAUCCUGCAAAACUAUCUUUCAAAAUUGAUGGAUAAAUAAGUUACUUUCAUGACAAAGAACACCUGAGAAACUUCAUGAAUACCAAACCAGCACUCCAAGCAAUUUUUAAAAAUAUCCUGGAAAAAGACAAUGAAGAUCACAACUCCAUAAGGCCCAACAGAGCAAAUCCAAUAGGUGAGAAUUUAAAGGGAGAAGAAGAAAAAGUAAAAAAGAACCAACCACAGGAAAAUAACGUGACAAUGAUGUCAAUACAUAUCAGUUAUAAUCAAUAUCAAUGGCCUCAAAUCACCAAUCAAAAGAAAUAGACUGGCAGAAUGGAUAAAGAAGCAAAAUCCAACAACAUGCUGUAAUAAAUCCUCAGUAGCAUGGGAAAUAGUGCAAAGAAUCAACAAUUGGAAGCUCAUCUUUUUAAAAAGUUUCUGCACUGCCAGAGAAAUCACAAGCAGAGCUAAGAGACAACCCACAAUGUGGGAAAAAAUUUUUUACCAGCUGUUCCUUAAACAAAGGUCUACUACCUAGAAUAUAUAAAGAAAUUAAAAAUAUCAGACCCUCAAAAUAUAAAGACCUAAUUCAAAAAUGGGCAUCUGAAAUGAACAGACAUUUCUCAGGAAAAAAAAAAAAAGUUAAAGCAGCAAAUAAACAUAUGAAAAAUUGUUCAACAUCACUGGUCAUUUGAGAGAUACAGAUGAAAACAACACUGAGAUUCCAUUUCACCUCAGAAAGAAUGGCUGCUAUCAAGAAGUCAACCAAUAACAAAUGCCAGCAGGGUUGUGGGGAGAUAAGAACCCUUCUUCAUUGUUGGUGGGAGUGCAGACUGGUGCAACCACUGUGGAAAUCAAUAUGCAGAUCCAUAUUGUAUGCAAAAAUCAAAUAACUAGGUUUAGAAGUCCCAUUUGACCCAGCUAUUCCUUUGCUGGGUGUCUUCCCAAAAGCAUUAAAAGAAUCAUAUCACAAUGAUAUAUGCUCACCCAUGUUUAUAGUGGCACAGUUUGUAAUAGCUAAAAUUUGGAGACAGCCCAAUUGCCCAUCAACUGGAGACUGGAUUAAGAGGAUGUAUGUGUGUGUGUCUUUUUUGAUAAAAUGGAAUACUACUCAGCCACAAAGAAGGAGAAACUUGAGAUAUUUAUAGCUAAGUGGAUGUACAUAGAAGAUGUACAUACAUGGUGAAAUUAAUAAGACACACAUGUAAAUACUGAAUAGUUUCUCUGCUGUGAAAAACUAAAUGUAAAUAAGGAUAAAAAUAUAUAAUUGAUAUUGUGUAAUAGGAAGAAAAGUUCUAAAGGAGUAGAGGAAGUGGGAGGGGUAGGGGAAAGGGAAAAGGGAAAAGAAAAAAUGUGUUAAAAGGAAAAAUGUGGAAACGAUGUCUUUGUAAACAAGGAAGGGUGGAGGGGGUAAAGGGAGGGCUGGGGAAUGGGGAAAAAUAAGAACAAGAUAAGUCUUGUAAAGGUACAAGAUCCCAGUGAUGAAUGUAACUGUGUUGCAUACCUAAACUGUACCAAUAAACUUAGUAAAGAUUAAAAAAGCCCACCAAAGAUAGGCUGUGCCUUGUUCACUGCUUUGUUCCCAGGAUAAGGAGCACUGAGUGUAUUUUGUUCCCUUAUCAUUUCCUCUCCCC
rnacentral:lncRNA from 1 species